AUUGAACGCUGGCGGCAUGCCUUACACAUGCAAGUCGAACGGCAGCACGGGAGCAAUCCUGGUGGCGAGUGGCGAACGGGUGAGUAAUAUAUCGGAACGUGCCCAGUAGUGGGGGAUAGCCCGGCGAAAGCCGGAUUAAUACCGCAUGAGACCUGAGGGUGAAAGCGGGGGAUCGCAAGACCUCGCGCUAUUGGAGCGGCCGAUAUCAGAUUAGCUAGUUGGUGGGGUAAAGGCCUACCAAGGCAACGAUCUGUAGUUGGGCUGAGAGGACGACCAGCCACACUGGGACUGAGACACGGCCCAGACUCCUACGGGAGGCAGCAGUGGGGAAUUUUGGACAAUGGGCGCAAGCCUGAUCCAGCAAUGCCGCGUGCAGGAAGAAGGCCUUCGGGUUGUAAACUGCUUUUGUCAGGGAAGAAAUCCCUUGGGAUAAUACCUCGGGGGGAUGACGGUACCUGAAGAAUAAGCACCGGCUAACUACGUGCCAGCCGCCGCCGUAA
rnacentral:rRNA from 1 species